AGUGAAACGAUGAGGCGUUAUGUGAUUGAUUUUUGUUCGGAGAAUUCGUGUUGAAUAUUUGUUCAGAAUGAUAACAGAAUCACAUAUCUUGAUUCUGCAGGAUUGGAAAACAUUGUGUUUAGGUGAGAUCUGAGUGUAUUGCACAAGGUUGAAGAUGAAUGAAAACAGUAAUAUGAGUACCAAUCUUCCCGUGUUCGAUGGCAAGAACUGAAAUCGUUGUAUGAUUUAGAUGUGUGUGUUGUUUGGAUUUCAAGGUGUUCUUGAUGUCAUGAACGACUAUUACAUUCAGGUUGGACUUCUAGAAAAUACAACAGAUGCGUAGAAAAAUGCUUAGCGUGAUCUGAGGAAAAAGGAUCAGAAGGCUCUGUUCUACAUCCAUCGGCGUGUGGAUGUGAACGUGUUUGAGAAAAUCGCCGAUUCAACGAUGGUGAAAGUUGUGUGGGACACACUAGUGUGGUGCUACGCCGGUGAUGUAUCAGUGAAGAAGGUGAAGCUUCAGUCUCUAUGUAAGUAGUAUGAGAAACUCAGCAUGAGGAACAAUGAGAAGGUAUCUGACUACAUCUCUAGAGUGAUUCUGAUCACAAAUGAGAUGAGGUCGUGUGGAGAAAAUCAAAUAGCUUUAUUGUGUGCCACUUCGUUCAUCUCCCUCAUGAUGUGCUCAAACCUAACAAUUUCGAACCACCUUUUCAUCUUCCACAUUCCUAUGCAUAUCAUCCCCAUCCCAUUUCUGGAUAUUUCCUUUUCACUACCAUUCAUGACCGAUAUUAGAUUCUUACAAUCCUAUUGAAACACCAUUCUGGAUAUUUCAUCCUUCAGCAUGUGUUCCAUGGCCACUUUCAUUGCCAUGGCUUCAUCCGCUGCCGUAUAUUUGUCCCCUUUGACUUUAUUUUCAUGAUCCUCCAUGAUCUAGUUCUUAUCAAUGUAUCGAAUUUCACCAAGACCCCAUAAUCCUUUCUCUACCAGACAAGCAUUUGUAGUUAUCGUCAUCCAUUAUCGCUUCGACUUAUCCCAGACUAUGCACACUACUAUUGUUGUUACCCUCAUUUUUCUUGACGAACUGAUCCUUACGUUCCCCUAGCUGAGUAUUCUCUUCCUUCCUUUUAUCUUUUGUUAUGUCUAUUUUUUCACCAUCUUUGUUAAUGUUGUCCCCCUUCGUCUUCCUUUUCUCAUUGUUACGGGUCCAAUUCUGCUUCAACUCUUUUCCUAUGUUCUUGGGUCAUUGGAUAGGACUUGUUGAGGAUUGGUGCAAAUAUUGAGGUACUUUGUGUCGCUUAUACAAGCAUUAUUGGAAGCUUCCAACUCAUAAGAUCAAUGUAAAGUGGAAGUUGUGCUACUGCAUACAAAGUCACAGGGAAGCAAGUGACUGUAUAAAUCAGAAACACAACGUGCUUGUACUUAUGGUCAAUCAAAAAGAAAUGACCAGAACAGAAAGCAAUGAACAUUGCAACAAUGGACAAGAAAAGAGAACUCAAUCCCAAAAGAAGUUUCCUUGGCAAA